GACGAACGCUGGCGGCGUGCUUAACACAUGCAAGUCGAACGGUGAAGGGAUCAGCUUGCUGGUUCUGGAUGAGUGGCGAACGGGUGAGUAACACGUGAGUCACCUGCCCCCUUCUUCUGGAUAACCGCAUGACAGUGUGGCUAAUACGGGAUAUUCUGCGCCUGCUUCAUGGUGGGUGUGGGGAUGCUACUGUUUCGGUGGGGGUUGGGGUUGCGGCGUAUCAGCUUGUGGGUGGGGCGAUGGCCUACCUUGGCGGUGACGGGUAGCCGGCCUGAGAGGGGGGACGGUCAGACGGGGACUGAGACACGGCGCAGAGUCAUACGGGAGGCAGCAGUGGGGAAGAUAGCACAAUGGGCGAAAGCCUGAUGCAGCGACGCCGGGUGAGGGAUGGAGGCCUUCGGGUUGUGGACCUCUGGCGCGAGUGAAGCAGGCCUGUCCCUUGUGGGUGGGUUGACGGUAGCUGGAUAAGAAGCGCCGGCUAACUACGUG
rnacentral:rRNA from 1 species